AUUGAACGCUGGCGGCAGGCCUAACACAUGCAAGUCGAACGAGUGGCGGACGGGUGAGUAAUGUCUGGGAAACUGCCUGAUGGCGGGGGAUAACUACUGGAAACUGUAGCUAAUACCGCAUACCAUCAGAUGUGCCCAGAUGGGAUUAGCUAGUUGGUGGGGUAACGGCUCACCAAGUCGACGAUCCCUAGCUGUGCUGAGAGGAUGACCAGCCACACGGGAACUGAGACACGGUCCAGACUCCUACGGGAGGCAGCAGUGGGGAAUAUUGCACAAUGGGGGCAAGCCUGAUGAAGCCAUGCCGCGUGUAUGAAGAAGGCAUUCGGGUUGUAAAGUACUGUCAGCGGGGAGGCGUUACCCGCAGAAGAAGCACCGGCUAACUCCGUGCCAGCGGCCGAGGUAAUAG
rnacentral:rRNA from 1 species